rnacentral:tRNA from 1 species
GCCCGAGUGGCGGAAUUGGUAGACGCGCACGACUCAAACUCGUGUUCCUUUGGAGUGCCGGUUCGACUCCGGCCUCGGGUA